rnacentral:rRNA from 1 species
UCUCUGCUAAAGGUUAUAUCCUGAAGUAUAGAGGGUGAAUUCUGCCCAAUGGUUGUAUAGUGAAACUGAGGACUAACGUCUAAAGCGAAACCCAACUGAAUGGCCGCGGUAACUCUGACCGUGAUAAUGUAGCACAAUAAAUAGCCAAUUAAUUGUUGGCGGGUAUGAAUGGAACCACGAGGGUCUUACUGUCUCAAGAGGAAAGCCGAUGAAAUUAUAAUUGUAGUGAAGAUACUACAUAAACAUUGUAAGACGAAAAGACCCUAUCGAGCUUUACUGGAUACCGAUAGCGUUAAUUUAGAAUGAUCGAUACUAAGUAUCCUAAUUCUAAGUUAAUAAUUUUUGUUGGUAGGACAGUUUAGUUGGGGCGACUACCUUUGAAUAAGAAACGAAGGCGAGCUUAUGGUAUUAUUUAAAAUCUCAUUAGCCUCACAGUGAGGGGGACACCCCUAGCUGGCACACCCCAAAAGGACAUUUGUCCCCACGUAAGGGAUGUGGGCGAUAGUGACCCGAUAUGAUUAUCCAAAAUAAAUAUCGAAAGCGGAUAAAAGCUACCGUAGGGAUAACAGCGUAAUAUUGUCGGAGAGUUCUUAUCGAGGACAGUGUUUGCGACCUCGAUGUUGAAUUGCGGUGCCCUGGUGCUGUAGAAGGUACCUUAGGUUGGUCUGUUCGACCAUGAAAACCGUA